UUGAACGCUGGCGGCAGGCCUAACACAUGCAAGUCGAACGGUAACAGGAAGAAGCUUGCUUCUUUGCUGACGAGUGGCGGACGGGUGAGUAAUGUCUGGGAAACUGCCUGAUGGAGGGGGAUAACUACUGGAAACGGUAGCUAAUACCGCAUAACGUCGCAAGACCAAAGAGGGGGACCUUAGGGCCUCUUGCCAUCGGAUGUGCCCAGAUGGGAUUAGCUAGUAGGUGGGGUAAAGGCUCACCUAGGCGACGAUCCCUAGCUGGUCUGAGAGGAUGACCAGCCACACUGGAACUGAGACACGGUCCAGACUCCUACGGGAGGCAGCAGUGGGGAAUAUUGCACAAUGGGCGCAAGCCUGAUGCAGCCAUGCCGCGUGUAUGAAGAAGGCCUUCGGGUUGUAAAGUACUUUCAGCGGGGAGGAAGGUGUUGUGGUUAAUAACCACAGCAAUUGACGUUACCCGCAGAAGAAGCACCGGCUAACUCCGUGCCAGCAGCCGCGGUAAUACGGAGGGUGCAAGCGUUAAUCGGAAUUACUGGGCGUAAAGCGCACGCAGGCGGUCUGUCAAGUCGGAUGUGAAAUCCCCGGGCUCAACCUGGGAACUGCAUUCGAAACUGGCAGGCUUGAGUCUCGUAGAGGGGGGUAGAAUUCCACGUGUAGCGGUGAAAUGCGUAGAGAUCUGGAGGAAUACCGGUGGCGAAGGCGGCCCCCUGGACGAAGACUGACGCUCAGGUGCGAAAGCGUGGGGGAGCAAACAGGAUUAGAUACCCUGGUAGUCCACGCCGUAAACGAUGUCUAUUUGGAGGUUGUGCCCUUGAGGUGUGGCUUCCGGAGCUAACGCGUUAAAUAGACCGCCUGGGGAGUACGGCCGCAAGGUUAAAACUCAAAUGAAUUGACGGGGGCCCGCACAAGCGGUGGAGCAUGUGGUUUAAUUCGAUGCAACGCGAAGAACCUUACCUGGUCUUGACAUCCACAGAACUUUCCAGAGAUGGAGGGGUGCCUUCGGGAACUGUGAGACAGGUGCUGCAUGGCUGUCGUCAGCUCGUGUUGUGAAAUGUUGGGUUAAGUCCCGCAACGAGCGCAACCCUUAUCCUUUGUUGCCAGCGGUUAGGCCGGGAACUCAAAGGAGACUGCCAGUGAUAAACUGGAGGAAGGUGGGGAUGACGUCAAGUCAUCAUGGCCCUUACGACCAGGGCUACACACGUGCUACAAUGGCGCAUACAAAGAGAAGCGAACUCGCGAGAGCAAGCGGACCUCAUAAAGUGCGUCGUAGUCCGGACUGGAGUCUGCAACUCGACUCCAUGAAGUCGGAAUCGCUAGUAAUCGUGGAUCAGAAUGCCACGGUGAAUACGUUCCCGGGCCUUGUACUCACCGCC
rnacentral:rRNA from 1 species